GUCAUAAUGGUUCAAUUGGUAGAACAUCUGUCUUGUAAAUAGAAGGUUGGUAGUUCAAGUCUACCUUAUGGCA
rnacentral:tRNA from 1 species